rnacentral:rRNA from 1 species
UAAUACAUGCAAGUCGAACGAGAGCGACCGGUGCUUGCACUGGUCAAUCUAGUGGCGAACGGGUGAGUAACACGUGGGUAACCUGCCCAUCAGAGGGGGAUAACAUUCGGAAACGGAUGCUAAAGCCGCAUAGGUUCUACAGUCGCAUGACUGAAGAAGGAAAAGAGGCUUCGGCUUCUGCUGAUGGAUGGACCCGCGGUGCAUUAGCUAGUUGGUGAGGUAACGGCUCACCAAGGCCGUGAUGCAUAGCCGACCUGAGAGGGUGAUCGGCCACAUUGGGACUGAGACACGGCCCAAACUCCUACGGGAGGCAGCAGUAGGGAAUCUUCCGCAAUGGACGCAAGUCUGACGGAGCAACGCCGCGUGAGUGAAGAAGGAUUUCGGUUCGUAAAACUCUGUUGUUAGAGAAGAACAGCGCAUAGAGUAACUGUUAUGCGUGUGACGGUAUCUAACCAGAAAGCCACGGCUAACUACGUGCCAGCAGCCGCGGUAAUACGUAGGUGGCAAGCGUUGUCCGGAUUUAUUGGGCGUAAAGCGAGCGCAGGCGGUCAAUUAAGUCUGAUGUGAAAGCCCCCGGCUCAACCGGGGAGGGUCAUUGGAAACUGGUUGACUUGAGUGCAGAAGAGGAGAGUGGAAUUCCAUGUGUAGCGGUGAAAUGCGUAGAUAUAUGGAGGAACACCAGUGGCGAAGGCGACUCUCUGGUCUGUAAC